rnacentral:rRNA from 1 species
GUGGGGAAUCUUGCGCAAUGGGCGAAAGCCUGACGCAGCCAUGCCGCGUGGAUGAUGAAGGUCUUAGGAUUGUAAAAUACUUUCACCGGUGAAGAUAAUGACUGUAGCCGGAGAAGAAGCCCCGGCUAACUUCGUGCCAGCAGCCGCGGUAAUACGUAGGGGGUUAGCGUUGCUCGGAAUUACUGGGCGUAAAUGGAGCGUAGGCGGACAUUUACGUCAGGGGUGAAAUGCCGAGGCUCAACCUCGGAACUGACUUUGAUACUGGGUGUCUUGAGUGUGAGAGCGGUGAGUGGAACUCCGAGUGUAGAGGUGAAAUUCGUAGAUAUUCGGAAGAACACCAGUGGCGAAGGCGACUCACUGGCUCAUUACUGACGCUGAGGCUCGAAAGCGUGGGGAGCAAACAGGAUUAGAAACCCUAGUAGUCC